AGAUCUGGAAACCAAUCGAAGAUUGACUCCUUCUAGUUCUAAUCCUAUGUAGCUAUGCUAAUCUAGAUGUCUAAUUGAUGUGGUGGCUCUAAUCUUGAUCAGAGGCUUCUUCUCCCUUGAUGGAACAAUGAAUUAGGGUUGAGAGGCUCUCUCCUCCAGGGGCCAGGGGGUCUGGUUUUAUAGUCCCUUUAAGUGAAUAUGGGCCCUUGGAUCAAACCAACAUAGAUUGUAUGGUUUAGAUUCAUCCUUUAGGUCGGUGGAGAUCUCCCGCAAAGCAGAGUCCUGAUUGG
rnacentral:lncRNA from 1 species